rnacentral:rRNA from 1 species
CCUGCCCAAUGUAUAAUUAAUGGCCGCGGUAUUUUGACCGUGCGAAGGUAGCAUAAUAAAUAGUCCAUUAAAUGUGGUCUGGAAUGAAAGGUUUAACGAGGAAUAACUUUUUUAACUUUAUUUAUGAAUUUUAAUUAUUAGUGAAAAUGCUAAUAUGAUUGAGGGGGACGAGAAGACCCUAUAGAGCUUUAUAUAAGUGAAUAUGUAGUGGUAUAGAGUUUUUUAUUAUAUUUUGUUGGGGCGACAGUGAAUUGGAAUCAUUCAUUUUAUUGUACUAUUAUAUUAGGUUAUUUGAUCCAUUAAUAUUGAUUAUUAGACUUAGUUACCUUAGGGAUAACAGCGUAAUUUUAUUUUAGAGUUCCUAUCGAUGAUAAAGUUUGCGACCUCGAUGUUGGAUUAAGAUUCUUUUAGGGUGCAGUAAUUCUAUGAGGUAGUCUGUUCGACUAUUUAAUUCUUACAUGAUCUGAGUUCAAACCGGAGA